rnacentral:rRNA from 1 species
AUUGAACGCUGGCGGCAUGCUUUACACAUGCAAGUCGAACGGCAGCGCGGGCUUCGGCCUGGCGGCGAGUGGCGAACGGGUGAGUAAUGCAUCGGAACGUGCCCAGUAGUGGGGGAUAGCCCGGCGAAAGCCGGAUUAAUACCGCAUACGACCUGAGGGUGAAAGCGGGGGAGCGAAAGGCCUCGCGCCAUUGGAGCGGCCGAUGUCGGAUUAGCUAGUUGGUGGGGUAAAGGCUUACCAAGGCGUCGAUCCGUAGCUGGUCUGAGAGGACGACCAGCCACACUGGGACUGAGACACGGUACAGACUCCUACGAGAGGCAGCAGUGGGGAAUUUUGGACAAUGGGGGCAACCCUGAUCCAGCCAUGCCGCGUGCGGGAAGAAGGCCUUCGGGUUGUAAACCGCUUUUGUUCGGGAAGAAAUCCUGUGGGCUAAUACCCCGGGGGGAUGACGGUACCGGAAGAAUAAGCACCGGCUAACUACGUG